rnacentral:rRNA from 1 species
UCACACCUGCUCAGCGUCGGAA